CAGCACCUCAAGUGGUCAGGAUGAUUAUUGGGCCUAAAGCAUCCGUAGCCGGCGCUGUAAGUUUUCGGUUAAAUCUGUAUGCUCAACAUACAGGCUGCCGGGAAUACUGCAGAGCUAGGGAGUGGGAGAGGUAGACGGUACUCGGUAGGAAGGGGUAAAAUCCUUUGAUCUAUUGAUGACCACCUGUGGCGAAGGCGGUCUACCAGAACACGUCCGACGGUGAGGGAUAAAAGCUGGGGGAGCAAACCGGAUUAGAUACCCGAGUAGUCC
rnacentral:rRNA from 1 species